AAACCAGCACCUCAAGUGGUCAGGAUGAUUAUUGGGCCUAAAGCAUCCGUAGCCUGCUCUGUAAGUUUUCGGUUAAAUCUGUAUGCUCAACAUACAGGCUGCCGGGAAUACUGCAGAGCUCGGGAGUGGGAGAGGUAGACGGUACUCGGGAGGAAGUGGUAAAAUGCUUUGAUCUCUCGAUGACCACCUGUGGCGAAGGCGGUCUACCAGAACACGUCCGACGGUGAGGGAUGAAAGCUGGGGGAGCAAACCGGAUUAGAUACCCGAGUAGUCC
rnacentral:rRNA from 1 species